rnacentral:rRNA from 1 species
UACGUAGGGGGCAAGCGUUGUCCGGAUUUAUUGGGCGUAAAGAGCGUGUAGGCGGCCAGGGAGGUCCGUUGUGAAAACUCGAGGCUCAACCUCGAGACGCCGAUGGAAACCCCCUGGCUAGAGUCCGGAAGAGGAGAAUGGAAUUCCUGGUGUAGCGGUGAAAUGCGCAGAUAUCAGGAGGAACAUCCGUGGCGAAGGCGGCUCUCUGGGACGGUACUGACGCUGAGACGCGAAAGCGUGGGGAGCGAACAGG